rnacentral:rRNA from 1 species
AUUGAACGCUGGCGGCAGGCCUAACACAUGCAAGUCGAGCGGAUGAAGGGAGCUUGCUCCUGGAUUCAGCGGCGGACGGGUGAGUAAUGCCUAGGAAUCUGCCUGGUAGUGGGGGAUAACGUCCGGAAACGGGCGCUAAUACCGCAUACGUCCUGAGGUAGAAAGUGGGGGAUCUUCGGACCUCACGCUAUCAGAUGAGCCUAGGUCGGAUUAGCUAGUUGGUGGGGUAAAGGCCUACCAAGGCGACGAUCCGUAACUGGUCUGAGAGGAUGAUCAGUCACACUGGAACUGAGACACGGUCCAGACUCCUACGGGAGGCAGCAGUGGGGAAUAGUGGACAAUGGGCGAAAGCCUGCUCCAGCCAUGCCGCGUGUGUGAAGAAGGUCUUCGGAUUGUAAAGCACUUUAAGUUGGGAGGAAGGGCAGUAAGUUAAUACCUUGCUGUUUUGACGUUACCAACAGAAUAAGCACCGGCUAACUUCGUG